AUUCCUGCCUAAAAAGUACAGCUCGUGCAGUCACUCGGUUUAUAAGCCUCCUGGAGAAGAUAAAGAGGGGAGUAUGGUAAUUUAAUGAUCCUCCUACUCUAAAUCAUCCUUGAAAACGUCCAUAGCUUCAUUUUCUCCAUUUCACAACGAAUAAGCCCCAGAGGAAUGAACUUCCUGUUUAUGCUGUGGUUCCCAGGAAAGAGGAGCAAAUGUACAGGCAGCUAAUUAAACCCUUCAGUGGAGGAGGGCUGAUUACAAAUGGCAUAUAGUGAAAAAGUAUUUAGCUUUCGUUUUUGCUGGAGAGGAAAAUAUUUCAAAAUAAUUUAAUGUUUGUACUCCUACCUGCUACUUUUGCUCAAGUCUCGAGACAAUCCCAGAGGAAUGGAGAAUUAGAAGAAAGGCUUCUCCCUUUGGGACAAGGACUUUUUGGUAAACACUUGUCGGCUCUGGUUUCAGAUUGCAUCAGUUCAGGAACUAAUUCCAGGCCCAAAACUGAGAACAAACUUUGACUUGAUUUUUAAAUUACUUUGAGAAUAGAUGAGAGUUUCCAGAUUCUGGUUUUAGAAUGUUGAAUUUCACUUUCCAAGGAAACUGGCUUAUUCUGGCUUUCUCAAGCAUAUUCUGUAUAAGUGUAUCAUCCUCUUCUUUGGAAGGAAUUUCUAAUCCUAAAUUUUCUUCCAUUAAUUACUUAUGAUCAUAUCACCUCCAGCAGAACUAUUAUAAUCGGGUGAAUUUUCCUCUGCUGUUUAAAGGAUAGUUGCAGGUCUUCUCUUUUUCAGGAAGUGACCCCAGGAAUUGAUUCAUAACAAGAGAUCCACCAGAGAUUUUAUAUAUUUGGGCUGUGGUGGCAGACCAGUUACAUCUCAGCACUUGAUAUCCACAUCUCUGAGAUAUUCAAAGCCAUUUAUGUUUCCCUGUAAAAUGUGUCCAGAAACAAAGUGACUUUCUGUCACCCCACCUUUCCUGUAAAGAUUGGCUUCUUGAUGGAGAGUUGGACUGCUUUUCUGUUGGAAGAAGAUUCCACAUAUGAGUGAUUUAUUUCACUUAGAAUAAUGCCUUCUAGGUCUAUCCAUUUUGUCACAAAUGUCAAUAUUUCCUUCUUUAAUGGCUGAGUAAUACUCCUUUGUUUAUAUGUACCAUCUCUUCUUUAUCCAUUCAUCUAUUGAUGGACACUUUGGUUGCUUCCAUAUCUUGGCUAUUGUAGAUAAUACUACAAUAAACAGGAUCACAUGUUCAAAUUAAUGAUUCUGUUUUCUUUGGGUAAAUUCCCACAAGUAGAAUUGCUGGAUCAUAUGGUAUUUCUAGUUUUAGUUUUUUGAAAAACCUCCAUACUGCUUUCCACAGUGGCUGCACCAAUUUACAUUCCUGUUAGUAGUUACGGAGUUCCCUUUCUCCACAUCCUCACCAACACUUGUUAUUUCUUGUUUUGUUGCUAUGAGCCAUUCUGACUAGAGUGAGGUGACCUCUCAUUGUGGUUUUGCCUUUCCCUGAUGAUUAGUGAUAUUGAGCAUCUUUUCAUGUAUUGGUUAGCCAUCAGCAUAACUUCUUUGGAAAAGUGUCUCAGGUCCUCUGCUCAGUUUUUUAAUUGGAUUAUUUGGGGUGUUUUGAUGUUGAGUUGUAAGAGUUCCUUAUAUAUUUUAGAUAUUAGUCCCUUAUCAGAUAUCAUUAACAAAUAUAUUUUUCCACUCAUUAGGUUGUCUUUUUGUUUUGUUUAUAGUUUCCUCUGCUGUUUGCCAGGUAUUUUAUAUGAAUGUUAGGCUCAGCUAGGUUAGGGAAGAGUAGGGUCUUGACAAAUGGAAUAGUGAUAUAUGAGAGAAAUCAAGGCUUAGAAAACCCCAGACUCCUACAUUUACCUAAAACAGAAUUCUCAACCAUGAUACCAUUAACAUUUUGGACUGGGUAGUUUUUGUUUUGGGGGCGCUGCUGUGUGCAUUGUUAGAGCUUCAGCAGCAUCCUUGGGUUCUACCCACCAGGUGUCAGUGACAUCCCAUCCUGAGUCAUGGCAAUCAAAAAUGUUUCCAGAUAUUGCCAAAUAUUCCCCUAAGUUAGGCAUGGAGGAAAUUGCCUCUGGCUUGAGAAAUACUGGUCUAAAGUUCUACCUGUUGGGCAAUCAUUGCUUGAGGAAACCAUGACUCAUUGAGAAGGAAAACCAAGAAGUUGUUCCAUGCCCCAUCUCACAAUUGCUUAUUUGGUAACCAGAAUUCAGACUUAACAUGUCUCAGAAGGCAAAAUAUAGGAUCAAAGUAGGGAAGCUUAAGUGUUGCAUCCACAAGAAUUAUAGGAAUUUGAUAACAUAUGUCAUGAAAAUAUGGGGAAUAUUUGUAGGAAUGAUUUCAGAGUGUUUUACCAAGGAAAAAAUGGAAAUGAAAAUUUUAGACUAAGCUAAAUUAAUUGAUAAGAUUGCCCUCGCCAGAGAUUUGGCAGUCAGUGUGUUUGCUUGGGCAGACAGCUGUAGUUCUAACAAUGUACUGAGCUGGCUAAUCCCAAAUAGCACUGAAAAGCCAGAAAGAAUUUUGUUUAAGUAGGGAUAAAGAUUAGAUUUAUCAUGCAGUCUACCUAUGCAUCCCUCAUAUGUCUUUUGAUAUAUUCCAGAACACUCUCAGUUUAGCUUUACCACAAGGAAUGGAUUAGUAAAGGGGGUGUCAGAAUCUUUAAAAAGCACUUUACUGGCUGCUCUUUCUAGGCUGAGAAUGUGGAUGGGAAGGGCUACAUUUGAAAUGAGAUUCCUAAUCUUAGAAGGGGUGGCAGAGCCCUGUGACACAAAUGAACAAGUAAUGAGCGUGGUUAUCAAAUUGCAGGGUGAAUGAUCAAGUCCCAGGGAGUUAAUUUAUUGAAAUUUAUUUUAGACUGUGGGAGUAAUAGGUGACUAUUUCUUAUUGUUAAAAAUUCAAGCAAAAUAGAUAAAGCAAACCUUUCUUAGACUUCUCUCUUCUAAUCCCUUUUGCUUUCAUGAAAUGCUCACCAGAAAUUCUCCUCUGUACAAGAGGCUCUUGAUACUAAGAUGUUCAGGAUAGCUCACUAUAUAAAUGCCAGUUCUCUUCUAUCUCCAGCCAGCCCAGUGCUUCCUGGAUGGGCUUGUCAACUCAGUGGCCCUGGUGUCAGUGAUGAAGGUUAUGCAUGAGCUUUGACACCAUGGACAUUCCUUCUCCAAGCUGCCCUAGUCCAUGCCAUUGCUGAGGACUCAGUUUGUCAGCAACAGCAACCAGUUCUGAGUACUGGACUUAGCAUUACACCUCUAGGCAUCUAGCCAGUUCUCUGUUGGCAGAUAUAUUACAGUGGAUCCCUUCUAUGUUGGGAAGGGGGGAGCAACAAUUUUAGAUCUCAUCUAGUGACUUCCCUUGUGAUAGAUGAGGAUUUAUUUCUCUUGCUGCCAUCCUCUCUGCUUCUUUUCUCUGUCCUCUCAACGUAAUUUUUGGUUGAGUAAAUAUUGUUACAUUAUACCUAGGUAAAUAUUAUUCAUAGCCAAACAUCCUAUGUAGUGUGAUAUUACUUUUUUUUUUUCCUCUUCCUGAGGUUAAAAACUGCUUAUUUAAAAUUUCUUCUUAUGUUUCUUUGCAUCUGUUGCAACUUAAAUAGCCUUUUAGUACAAUUUUGUGUGUCCUGGGACAAAUACUAAUGGAGGUCUACAUACCACAUGUCUAAAUAUUUAAAAAUUUAUAAUUCAAACUACUAAAGAAAAAUCUCUUUUCUUCUCUUGUCAAAAUAAAACUGGAAAUUAUCUCAAGUUGUGGUUUUUAUAUGACUGAAAGUUUGUGGAUUAUCAAUUGAAUUUAAUUUUGAGUGCAAAUGAAUGAGUUAGUGAUAUUUGGAUGAGUACUAAAGGCUUGCAAAACUAACAAAUUGUUAUGUUCUUUUCUAUAAAUUUGUCUUAAUUUCAGCAAAAUGUUGCACUGAAACCUCACAUAAGGUUGAUUUACUGACAAUAAUGCCAAUUAGACCUUUCUUGGGUCAUUGUAGACCUUACUUUUCCUUUAAAACAUUCAAAAUAAUCUAUUAAAUUUAAAAGGCAAGAUAUUAACUAUACAGUAAAUUAAAAUUUCUAAAAUGUUUAAGGUUGGAAGUUUUAAUUUAAUAUUUGAAUUUUUAAUUAAAUCAUACAAAACAUUUUAUGAAAGUAAAACUGAUUACAAUUCUAGAAUCAGAAUCCAUUUGUCAGUGUAAAACACACAUAUAGACACAUCAAGACAUAAUACAGACUUAGAAAUAAUGUGAAUUACUUGAUAUUACAAAAUGUUUCUCAGCUGCCACAUAAAAUAGUGUUCAAUAGCACGGUAAUUAGUGAAUAUCACUGGAUACUCCAACUGGAAUUUGGAAUGAAGUGAAAAAAAAAAAGGCCAUCCAUGCUCUGAGACUUUAAUAUACAAGGGUCUAUUUCAUUCAUGCUCUCAGAGAGGGAUUUGCCAAACUAAUUAAUUUGUGUUUUCUCUUACCACUGUACUUCUACUGUUCAGAUUCUGUCUGUAGUAAAGUCUGUCUCUGACAGCAGAAGCAAAACCCAUACUCCUACACAGCACUCAGGGCAGUCACCUUUUAUUUUGAGGAGAAAGGAGGAAAAGAGCAAGAGAUGUGGAGGAGCUAAAUGAAGUUAGUGUCACAAAAGGACACAUUUAAGGUUACGGAUUGCACUGUGGCAGCGCUGAGUGCCAGGUCUUGAGUGACAAUGAUACCCAUGGGUUCUUACAUACAUUUGUUCUCUUUCUCUGAUAUGUAGGGCCCUCUCACAUGUGGGCCCAGGCGCCCAGUUCUAAGGUUGGUUUUGGGUCUUAGCAUUCAUCAUGCACGUGCUUAGGUGAUGCUUCCCUUUUCCAGUAGGGUGCCUGUUCCCACAGCUGUUCUGUCAUCCUGCAUUCACCAGUUCUGGUCUUCUGCAGCAGUAGUUACUCAAUGCCAUGUGAGAAAGGAAUGAGAGCUCUAUCUCCCUUUCUCAGUUUUUUAUUUUUUAAUUUUUAAUUUUGGAAUAAUUUUAGGUUUACAAAAAAGUUGCAAAGACAGUACAGAGGUCCUGCAUACUCUUCCCCAAGCCUCCUCUAAUGUUAACAUCUACCAUAAUCGAGUUGCAUUUACCAAAACAAAGAAAUUAACAUGAGUACCAUAACUGUUAACCAAAUCACAGACAUUUCUUUGGAUUUCAACAGUUUUUCUGCUUAUGCCCUUUUUCUGUUUCAUGAUAUCACACUGCAUUCAGUCAUCAUGUUCCCUUCAUCACCAAUCUGUGGCAGUUUUUUUGGUCUUUGCUGACUUGACUUCCAUGACCUUGACUGUUUUGAAGGAUACUGGUUAGGUAUUUUGUAGGCUGUCCCUCGGUUGGGUUUGCCCGAUGUUCGGGUUUGACAUCAUUACACUGGGAAUAUGGAGUUUCGGGAAGAAUUCCACAGAGAUGAACUGUCCUUUUCUUGGCAUCAUGUCAGGGGUUGGUAAUAUCAACCUGACUUAUGACUGGUGAUGUUAGCCUUGAGCAUCUGGCCCAGGUGGUGUCUGCGGUUUCCCUAGUUACUCUUUUCUUCCUUUCCCCUGUUCUUUAGGAGAGAGUCAUUAAGUCCAGCCCACACUCAUGGAAUGAGAAUGUAUUUUAAACCUGCAUUCUAUCAACCCUGAUUAAUAUUCCUUUUUACCCCCACUUCCAAAAGUCCACUUAGUCCCUGAACCUUUGGAAGAUUCUGUGACACAUCAGUUUAGUUCUUGGCUUUCCCCGCUAUAUCCUGAGUCACUUUUCUGUGUUCCAGCUUCCAGCAUUUUGUUGCUAAUGUCUCCUCUUCCCUUCUCUCUGUAUUUAUAGGUAUAUGGGUUUUUUAAGAAAUCUCUUUACUGUAGUUUUAGUGGAGUUUCAGAGGAAGUGAAAUUGAAUUAUUAUGUUCAAUCUGCCAUCCAUACCUGGAAGCCUUGGGGAAAACAUUUUUUAAUCAUCAAAAUUGACAUUUAAUCUGUUUGAAUUUGCAGUUUCUGUGUGUCAUAAUUCUACCAUUGAUACAAUCCUUGGAAUCAUUGAAUUUUUUUUUGUAUAUCGUUGUUUUAUUUCAUGAAACAUUAGGAUCAGUCAAGAAAUCACUUAACAGCUAGAGAAGUAAGGCUUCUAGUGUUGGUUGGUGUGAUUGGCCUUGAUUAUCAAAGCCAAAUUAGGAUUAAGUUUAACAAGAAAGGUAGGCUGGACACUUCAGGAAUCGAAGUUUGGGUCAGUCGAACGGGCAAGGGACCUUAACUGAUUUUUGCUAGCCAAAGGCAGCAAACUGGUAUGGAUAGAAGAGAGAAGUUAAAAUAUCCGCUAUGGCGUCUUGACCAGUUGCAUAAAUGAAAAUUCUAGCCCUCUGUAUAUUUGUUCGCUCUCUGUCCCAUUGUCUUUCACCUUUCUUUUUUUAAAAAAAGACGUUUUUAGAGCAAUUUUAGGUGUACUUUAGAAUUGUGAAGAAGGUACAGAGAUUUCCCAUAUACUCUCUGUCUCCACACAUUCAUAUCCUGCCCUGUUAUCAACAUCACUCACCAGAAUGGUACCUUUUUUUUACAAAGGAUGAACACAUCAGAAUCACCCAAAGUCCAUAGUUUACCUCAGGGUUUACUCUUGGGGUUGUACAUUCUGUGUGUUUGGGCAAAUGUGUAAUGGCAUGUAUCCAUCACUGUAACAGCAUACCGGGUAUUUUCACUGCCCUAGAAAUCAUCUGUGCGCCACCUACUCAUCCCUUUCCACUGACCUUUGACAACCAUUGAUCUUGUUACGGUAUCCAUAAUUUUUCCUUUCCCAGAAUGUCACAGAACUGGAAUCAUAGAGUAUGUAGCCUUUUCUAAUCUUUCAUUCCUACAACUUUAUAUAAAGUGUUUUAAUAUUGGGUAUGUUUGUUAUUUAGUGAUGAAGUUGCAUUUUAUAUUUUUAUACAUUUUUAUUAUUUUCAUUACUUUUUCAGUAGGUAGUGGUCUAUGUGGCUCAAAAAACAAACAAUAUGAAGAGUAUCACCCUCCCGUUUCUGUCUACCUUGUUCUCUCUUGCCCUGACCCCUGUUAGUAACCAUUUCAAUUAGUUUCUUGUGUGUCUUUUGGUGUUUCUUUAUACAAUUAUGAACAUAUAUUCUUAUUCUUCCCCAUUUUACAUAAAAGAUAACACUCUAUUUAUAUUGUUCUGUUCUCUUUCUUUGCUGGAUAGUAUGUGUUAGUUCAUAGAGAAUUUCCCUGUUCUUUGUUACAGCUCUCAGGGAUGUUCCAGUGCUUGUAUUACCAGUUCCUUAUAGAAAAUGACUUGAGUUUGUUUCUCAGUUUUGGCUUUGCAAACAAUACUGUAAUGAAUAACCUCAUACAAACUUUCUUUUGUAGGUGUGUAGGUAUAUUUCUGUAUAAGUUCCCAGAAGUGGGAAAGUUGUAGAAUACUGACUUUAGUAUAAUAGUGUACCUAGAGUGGGAUUAGCCAUCACCUGUUUUAACAAUCAGAGACAACCAGGAAAAUAGCAACCACAUAGCUUUCAUGGCAGAAAAAAUGUAAUACAGGAUAGUGAUUACCACAUAGAGCACCUGAGAAAGUGAAGCAACCUAGAGAUUAGUAACAACAGAAGAACUACUGCUUGCAGCCCAGAGAGACAAAAGUAAGAAGGCUGUAUUACUGAAUCCCAGAGCUGGGGGGUCAUCUGUUGGAGGCUAGGACCUCUAAGGACCUGUCUAUGGAAGCUGGAGCCACUAAGGAGAUACAGUCACUGCCAGAGAAGUGCCUGAGAUAGACGAGAGAGAGAUAUCCUGGUAUGUUCUUUCCCACCCCUAGUGUCCACUCUUUCCAAAAUCAACUGAUAGUGAGUCUGGUCAUCAGAGUUAACAGAAGUCAGCCGCCUGCUGUACAGAGAACAGCAGAAGUCCAGAAAAUGGAUUUGAGGACAAAUGGGCUCAGAAUCUGUGUAGCCCAUCCAUUUUGCUACUUAGCAUUUAAAUCCAUCCUUCUACCCAUGUUUAAUAUCUUUAUGCUCUGCCUGUCAUUCAAACAAACACACUGUCCCUUCUGCCCAAACAAAAAGAGGCAUGUAAGUCUCAUUAGUCAUUGUAUCCUUCUCAAGUUCAGGAUCCACUGGUGAUCCUCACUCCUCUCCAGCAGGUGCAGAUUGAUUUUCUGUGGCCUGAUAACUUAUGAACUAACUUGUAAAUUAAGUUUCACCACCACUCCACACAAAACUGUAGAGGAAGGGGAGGGGGAAAAGUAGACAUCAUUGGUUAAUAUGUACGUAACAAAAAUAUCUCUGUUGCUGUAAAAAGUCACAAGAUCAUAGUUGGUAUUUAUCACUUCCCUCCUCUACCACUUACUCCAAAUUCCCUGUUUUCAGCUAGCACUCCACUGCCAGUGGUUAGGGUUCUUUGCUUGGCAGGGUACCUGUAUCAGUUAGGAUACAUUCAGAAUAAUGGAAAACAGAGUUGGUGUUUCAACAGAAUUUAAUAUAAGGAAUUGGUUAAGCAGUUUUGGAGAACUGAAAAAGCAAAACAGGGGAUACUGAGCUAACCCAGAGAUAAAGAAAUUAAUAUAAGUGACACAAAGGAGAUAGAAUAAACGAACUUGGUGACUGAUGACAUAUGGAAUGGGAGGACAGAACAGAAAUCCAUACAUGUGUUAAAAUUUUUACACUCAUGUGACAGUUCUGGUUUGAGUCUGAGUCGAGCUCAGACCGAUCUGAGCUUAGUGUAGUUACCAAUAGUCCCGGUUUGCCCCAGCCUUAGGGAUUUCCUGGAGCCUCAGUCUUCCUAUGCUAAAACUGGGAGAGUUGCUUGCAAACCAGGAUGAAUUGGUCACCCUAGCCUGCUAUGAGCUGGUGGAGUAGAUCAGUGACAGGAGCUUCUUGGCAUGAGCUCUGAGUCUGGUAUAAGCAGUCCUUAGGGAGUUAGCAAUCAAGAUGCCUUAAACUUGGGCCAGUAAGAGAGCCUUUAGUGAUGAAGGGAAAUGGUAAUUCUUAAUACUCCAUGGUAGCUGCCAUUCAAAUACAUCCCCUACAGUUGGGAUCCAUGGUGUGAUGUAUUUGUGGGUUCUAGGGAGAGGAGGUUGGAAAUAAAGUUUGUUUCUUACUCCAAGAGUGUAACCCAGAGGGGACAGAUUCUUUCUCACCAGACCUCCCAGCAGCUCUGGAACUUGAGGGCCUUAGUGCGUUAGUGACUUCAGUUGUAGGUAAGUUGGUGGGUUGCAAGGGAUGGGGAGGGGGAACUCGGGAACAUGUCCUGGCCCAAGGAAGAACUGAAAUGCUUGGCAAGGCAGAAUAACAUUUAUGCAGCUGGGGCAUAAAUUUAUGCAGGUGAAGUCUGAGUUAUCACAGCAAAUGUAACGUCAACAGGUCGGGGAGUGGAGAAGCUGGAGGAAAGCUGGCAACAGGCUUUUCUUGAAGCAAUUUCAGGCAGGAGGAGGGGACAGGUUGACUAGGGUUACUUUCUUUGUGAUAUUCUGCCACCUAGUGUUAAUUCUUACUACUUCGCUUGUCCCUCUGAUGGAUAAAAGAAAGCAGAUGAA